rnacentral:rRNA from 1 species
UACGAAGGGGGCUAGCGUUGCUCGGAUUGACUGGGCGUAAAGGGCGCGUAGGCGGUUUGCAUAGUCAGACGUGAAAUUCCUGGGCUUAACCUGGGGGCUGCGUUUGAUACAUGCAGGCUUGAGUUCGAAAGAGGGUCGUGGAAUUCCCAGUGUAGAGGUGAAAUUCGUAGAUAUUGGGAAGAACACCGGUGGCGAAGGCGGCGACCUGGUCCGAUACUGACGCUGAGGCGCGAAAGCGUGGGGAGCAAACAGG